UAAUACGUAGGGUGCGAGCGUUAAUCGGAAUUACUGGGCGUAAAGCGUGCGCAGGCGGUUGUGCAAGACAGAUGUGAAAUCCCCGGGCUUAACCUGGGAACUGCAUUUGUGACUGCAUGGCUGGAGUGCGGCAGAGGGGGAUGGAAUUCCGCGUGUAGCAGUGAAAUGCGUAGAUAUGCGGAGGAACACCGAUGGCGAAGGCAAUCCCCUGGGCCUGCACUGACGCUCAUGCACGAAAGCGUGGGGAGCAAACAGGAUUAGAUACCCUGGUAGUCCACGCCCUAAACGAUGUCAACUGGUUGUUGGAGGGGUUCCCCUUCAGUAACGAAGCUAACGCGUGAAGUUGACCGCCUGGGGAGUACGGCCGCAAGGUUGAAACUCAAAUGAAUUGACGG
rnacentral:rRNA from 1 species